rnacentral:rRNA from 1 species
CUACGGGGGGCAGCAGUGGGGAAUAUUGCACAAUGGAGGAAACUCUGAUGCAGCCAUGCCGCGUGUGUGAAGAAGGCCCGAGGGUUGUAAAGCACUUUCAAUUGGGAGGAAGGUUAGUAAGUUAAUACCUUGCUAGCUUGACGUUACCUUUAGAAGAAGCACCGGCUAACUCUGUGCCAGCAGCCGCGGUAAUACAGAGGGUGCAAGCGUUAUUCGGAAUUACUGGGCGUAAAGCGCGCGUAGGCGGACUGUUAAGUCGGUUGUGAAAGCCCUGGGCUCAACCUAGGAACUGCAUCCGAUACUGGCAAUCUAGAGUUUAAGAGAGGGAAGUGGAAUUCCAGGUGUAGCAGUGAAAUGCGUAGAUAUCUGGAGGAACAUCAGUGGCGAAGGCGACUUCCUGGCUUAAAACUGACGCUGAGGUGCGAAAGCGUGGGUAGCGAACGGGAUUAGAUACCCUAGUAGUC